ACGACAUAAAACCUUCCAAAACGACGUCUCAAAACAGAGAUUCAAAUACCAAUCUGAAAUAAACGCGACUUCCGGCGACACCACCGUGGAUAAGCCAAGGUUUUGUUAGAAACUUCCAAUCUCAGCAAAGCGUCACGAAUCCUCAACGUCCUCACACGUCUUUCAUCAAGAAGUGGCUUCAAAACUUCGUGCCACCGUCUAUGGAAACCGACAAUGACGACGACGAUUUCACAACCUAUCUCAACCCUUAUACUUGGAAUUCCCAAACGAAAUAUGAUUCCCCUGCCGACGCCUCGUUGCCGACUUCAAAUUCUCAUCCUCAAUCGCAUCUCGUGCUUCCAUCGUGCAUCAACGUUAACCAUCAAGGCGAAGGAUAAAUACUUACCGGUUAAUUUCGAAGCGACGACUCAGCGUGAUCUUUGAUUUUGCUUUUGUGGAUCACCAUCCCGUGCCUUUCGUCGUUGUCCUCCGAACUUCCGCUUUCUUGAUUGUGUGUUGGUUAUGCGUUGACGUCGUUCUUUGUUGUUCGUGGUGAAGAUUUGGAUGCUGCCGCAAGAUGAAAUGUUGUUGGUUGAAGGAUGAACAAUCAAGAUUCAAUGCCUUGCCGUCGUCAAUCUGGGGAGAACAAGAGAGUCACGGCGCGGGCAAGCUUGGGUGUAUGAAAACCAAUGCAGAAUCUCUGCAGAGUGAAGAAGAAAUAGUGUAGGAUGAGGAUUUUCCAUACAGAAGAAGCUGGUGAAAGAAGAAGAUGAUGAGUGAUUGAGUCCAGUUCUCUGAAUGGAAUCGUUCCCUUUGAUUAGGUGCUGAAUGAAGGUUUUUUAUAGCGUUGAUUAGAGUUGUUAUCAGGGCUGAUGGAUUGUUUUCAACUGAAUGGGAGAUUUCUAGCUGGCAGUCAGUUAGAGUAGAAUUCAGUUACAUUUCGGUUGGAAGUUGGUUGUCGAAAACCGUUUUGUUCUGUUAUGCCUUUUUUCAGUUUCUAUUGGAAUACGAUUAGGAGGAGUCAGUUGUGUGUAAUCCAGUUAGGAGUCAGAAGAGUGAUGGUUCGGUUAUGGUUCUCUUAUAAGGUUGUUAAAAGGAUGAAAUCUGGUUAGUUAUGAUAGGGAUAAUGCCUCACCCAACAUAGACCUUAUGUGUACUUCAAGGCAAGAUCUUUUUGUAUGGCAUCAAGUUCCUCCGGAGAUUGAGCAGAACUUUUCUUCAUAAUACCUCUUCUUCCGACCAGGUUCUCUCAACUUAAUCUUGUCCUCGUUACCAUCUUUUGAGUUGAACACAUCAUUUCUGUUGCGAAGUAUCCCCUUCACUACGAACUGCCGCAUUUAAGUUUAACAACGCCUUCCAUGAAAGUUUGAAGAAUGAAGGAUACCAAUAUAUAGUGAAGCGACAACGGAUAAACCUGAAUUAUCAUUAUCAUUUGAAACUGAGAAUGAUGCAAGAAACACAAGCCCAUUCAGCAGAUUUUCAAUAACCAGUUUGGUCAAACGUGGCUUGCCAACACUAGGAAUGUCUUUGAAGUUCAUACACAAUUUUAUCAAAUUGAAGAAUUAGCCCAUUUUUCUUUUUUGAAUCUCUAUCUCCCCUUUAUCAUACAAAACAAUGUUUAAGCAGAAGCAUAGAUCUCUUAAUCUACGAGCUAGGUCGGAGAAAUAAUCGGAAACCAGAGGAGCCAAUAUAAAUUGAUACACCAUGUCAUCACUAACAUUGUGUAUAUUGAGAACUAAUGAACGUAUUGCUGUCUGAACCAUCUUUUCCUCAUGAUGAGCAAAUCCUAAAGCCUACAACAUUCCCAUGAACCUUCACAAGGAGUCAAAGUAUGUUGCACAUAGUACGAAGCUAAAUCUCCCCCGUCAAAUUUGCAGGGAUGCGAAAUAAUGUUGUUAAUAUAACUAUUAUUGCAGCAAUAGUAAAUUGCUUGUUUGCUAUCCAUGUUUUGAAUCAUUAUGCUCAAGUACGGAAGCAGUGGCGCAUUAAUCUUUGGAUUUCCAUUGGUCUUUAGUGUGCGUACAACAUCUGUGAGCCCUUGGUCCUUGGUGUUCCAUGCAACAUUAAAAAAUUUAAAGGAUCUCGUCUAUCACCGUAGGUCCCCAAUACAUUGCAAUAAAUCCACCACAUAUUCCCUAUUAUUCUCAUUGACAACUUUGAUUUUCAGCAGUUCACUAAUUACACAUUUGAAGUGUUGAAUGGAGAAUCGACCGUCGGUGUGUAAUUUGAAUUGGUUUAAUGGUUGUAAUGGAAUUGUGUGUAAUUUGGACAUUAUUGUAGUUUUGAACACUUGGAUUGAUGGUUGUAAUUGAUUCAAAGGGAUGUGACUAUGUAUGGUUUAAUAUCAUGUAGGAUAAUGCAUGCAAUUUGGUCAAGUGACAUGUAAUUUAUAGAAUUGCAUGUAAAUGGUCUUGGAAGGUUUCAAAAUUUGUAAUGUGUUUUCCCAUGAAAGUUUAUGGAAUUAUGUAAGGUUAUAUUGAAAUUGAAAUUUGUAUUACA